rnacentral:rRNA from 1 species
GGAGGCGCUCAAAGGUUUCCUCAGAAUGGUUGGAAAUCAUUCAUAGAGUGUAAAGGCAUAAGGGAGCUUGACUGCGAGACCUACAAGUCGAGCAGGGUCGAAAGACGGACUUAGUGAUCCGGUGGUUCCGCAUGGAAGGGCCAUCGCUCAACGGAUAAAAGCUACCCCGGGGAUAACAGGCUUAUCUCCCCCAAGAGUUCACAUCGACGGGGAGGUUUGGCACCUCGAUGUCGGCUCAUCGCAUCCUGGGGCUGUAGUCGGUCCCAAGGGUUGGGCUGUUCGCCCAUUAAAGCGGUACGCGAGCUGGGUUCAGAACGUCGUGAGACAGUUCGGUCCCUAUCCGUCGUGGGCGUAGGAAAUUUGAGAGGAGCUGUCCUUAGUACGAGAGGACCGGGAUGGACAUACCUCUGGUGUACCAGUUGUCGUGCCAACGGCAUAGCUGGGUAGCUAUGUGUGGACGGGAUAAGUGCUGAAAGCAUCUAAGCAUGAAGCCCCCCUCAAGAUGAGAUUUCCCAACUUCGGUUAUAAGAUCCCUCAAAGAUGAUGAGGUUAAUAGGUUCGAGGUGGAAGCAUGGUGACAUGUGGAGCUGACGAAUACUAAUCGAUCGAAGACUUAAUCAA